ACUUCACAGGGCUGGACAACAGAGCCUUCAGCAGAUGGAGUUGAGCCCAGGGACCCUCACCACUUCAGCAACAUGUGAGCCCUCGGCUCCUGGUGCAACAAAAGGGAGCAAAGCAGCCAGGGAAAACGACUCAUGUUGGUUUUCCCAUCAGUCUUGGAAACUGGUGGCUUGCAGUCAGAUUUUGUGGGGUUUAGGAAAGUAAGUGAAUGCAGUGGGUUUUUCUGCAUCUUGAAUGUUGGCGAGCAAUUCACUGAGGAAAUUCCAAUGGUAGUAGCUUUCCUAUGGGUGAAAAUGGCAGAGGCUGUAGGGAGAGGGCUAGAGGCUGCCUUAGAAAUCCUGGCAGGAGAUGGGGCCUGGCCCAGAAGGCUGGCAGUAAGGAUGAUUCCGAGGAUGUUUGGAAGGCAGAACGGGCAGGCUUGGGUGACUGAUGAGAUCACUCCAGUUACUGGCUUGUGUGACAGAACACAUGGGUAGUUAGAGAACACAGGACUCAGGACAUGGGUCAUAGGUUUGGGUUUUAUCAUGCAAAGUCUGUGUGAGAGGCCUCACAGGCAGCUGGAAAUGCAGGCCCACUUGGGCUAGAGACAUGGACUUGGGAAGUGUUGAAAUGAGUGUGGUGAUCAGGAUCCUGGGAGGGGGUGGGAACACCUAGAGGGGAGAAUUCAGUGGGCGAAAGAGAGCCUCAGGCAGAAUGCCACCACCCAAGGGAUGGCCCAGAAAAGAGACACCCAGAAAGAAGACCGAGGAGGAGCAACCAAGGGCAGGAGGAAAGCCGGGGGGGCAGGUUGCCAAGGCCAAGGACAGAGGGAGUCUCUAGAAGCAAGCGGUGGUCA
rnacentral:lncRNA from 1 species